rnacentral:rRNA from 1 species
CCUACGGGUGGCAGCAGUGGGGAAUAUUGCACAAUGGGCGAAAGCCUGAUGCAGCAACGCCGCGUGAGCGAUGAAGGCCUUCGGGUCGUAAAGCUCUGUCCUCAAGGAAGAUCAUGACGGUACUUGAGGAGGAAGCCCCGGCUAACUACGUGCCAGCAGCCGCGGUAAUACGUGGGGGGCUCAGGUUAUCCGGAAUUCCUGGGGGUAACGGGUGCGUGGGUGGUUGCUUAAAUGAGAGGUGAAAGGCUACGGCGCAACCGUAGUAAGCCUUUGAAACUGGGAAACUUGAGUGCAGGAGAGGAGAGUGGAAUUCCUAGUGUAGCGGUGAAAUGCGUAGAUAUUAGGAGGAACACCAGUGGCGAAGGCGGCUAUCUGGACUGUAACUGACACUGAGGCACGAAAGCGUGGGGAGCAAACAGGAUUAGAUACCCUAGUAGUC